AGAGUUUGAUCCUGGCUCAGGACGAACGCUGGCGGCGUGCUUAACACAUGCAAGUCGAACGGAGAUUUUAGCAAUAGAAUCUUAGUGGCGAACGGGUGAGUAACGCGUAGGCAAUCUGCCUUCUAGAUGGGGACAACAUCCCGAAAGGGGUGCUAAUACCGAAUGUUGUAGUUGGUUCGCAUGGACUAGCUACUAAAGGUGGCCUCUGAAUAUGCUACCGCUAGAAGAUGAGCCUGCGUCUGAUUAGCUAGUUGGAGGGGUAACGGCCCACCAAGGCUUCGAUCAGUAGCCGGUCUGAGAGGAUGAACGGCCACACUGGGACUGAGACACGGCCCAGACUCCUACGGGAGGCAGCAGUGGGGAAUCUUCCGCAAUGGACGAAAGUCUGACGGAGCAACGCCGCGUGAGUGAAGAAGGUUUUCGGAUCGUAAAGCUCUUUCGUUAGGGACGAACGUGCUCUUUGUGAAUAAUGAGGAGUAAUGACGGUACCUAAAUAAGAAGCCACGGCUAACUACGUGCCAGCAGCCGCGGUAAUACGUAGGUGGCAAGCGUUGUCCGGAAUUAUUGGGCGUAAAGCGCGCGCAGGCGGGAUAUCAAGUCUGUCUUAAAAGUGCGAGGCUCAACCUCGUGAGGGGACAGAAACUGGUAUUCUUGAGUGUCGGAGAGGAAAGUGGAAUUCCAAGUGUAGCGGUGAAAUGCGUAGAGAUUUGGAAGAACACCGUGGCGAAGGCGACUUUCUGGACGAUGUC
rnacentral:rRNA from 1 species